UUUGUGAAAACAGAAAAUAAUGCAUCUACAAUCAGAAUACAAAUAAUCUACAAUUUAUCUACAAGAUAUCUACAAAAUAGAUACAUUGAAUUUUAAUAUCCAAAUUCUCAUUUCAAUUGUAGCAUAAUUGGCAUUUUCGACAUAAUUGUAGAAGAUUUGUAGAAGUUUUAGUCUUCCCAAUCUACAAUUCAUCUACAAUUUAUCUACAAUUUAUCUACAAUAUAUCUACAAUUCUACAAUUUAACUACAAUUUAUCUACAAUUUCUGGAAAUACGUCUUCUUCUUCUUCUUCUUUUUCUUCGAGUUUCAAUCUAAAAUUCAGUCAACACCAAGUCUAAUCUUCACCAAAACCCCUGAAAAUUGAGAUAUAAACUCCUAAACAUAUUCCGAAUUAUUUACAACAACACCCAAUCCAAACAAAUAAUGAUUUUUGAAAACCCAAAUUUGAAUUCAAAGCUUUCAAGCUUUUUAAUGGCUAUCAAUGGUGAAAAAUAUAUGGAAGAACAAAUGAAGAUGAAGAACAGAAAUCUCCUUUCCGUUUGAUUGCUAGAGUUUCAGUAGCUUGUGUUUUUUGAGAAUUGUAGUUGAGUGAGAGAAGAGAGAUCUCUUUCUGUUGAAGAAGGAGAGAAUUACGCAACAAUUCAAAUUUAAUGUUGACAGAAUCACACGCAGAUGUGGUGCCUUCAUUUUAGCGCGUUUUUAUGGCAAAAUCUAUCUAUUUUUGGAUUGGUAUAUAAUUUGUAGUAAAAGUGUGGACUACACGGGUAAAUAACAAAAUAUGAACAUUUUUGGUAAUAAGGUUUGAUAUACGGUAUAGAUAGGUAAAAAUCCCUAUUUUAAACUUAAAAGGGGCUAUUGAUUAUCAGCAACUUUUGGGUAUAGUCUAGCACUAAGGUUACGGGCCUAAGAUAUAAGAGAAAAAGGGCCCAAUUGGCUAUUUGGUACAGCUAGCCCAGUUACAACUCUAGCUAACUGGGCCACUUUGCGGUUCUGUUUUUAGUAACAAGACAAAAUUAUCAAAAUAAUAGUCCAAAGCCCAAGUUCGAUUCAUACAGAAGUGAAAUCAGAGAAUUAUUCAAAACUCUUUUUUUUAAAAAAUAAAAUAAAAUAUACUACUGUAAUUUUCAACACACAAAAGAAAAUUGGGAGUUUAUGUUGAAGUUUAGAGAAGCAAACCCACAGUUGGGGUCAAGCUAUUGGGCUUAGUACCCAAGCCCAAGCUGCCUAGGUCCAGACUUGUCAGGUAAUUCCCAGAUUGGGCCAAGUCACAAGUCUGGCCCAUUUCAUAUUAGCCUUUAUUCAGGCAAUUCUGAUACAACGGGCUCCAUUUAUAACAAAGGGCCAUUGAGAUGGUUUUUGCUAAAAUACUGUGGAAUGCAGUUAUUAACCAAAGCAAUCAAUCAAAAAGAGAAAUAUUACAAUAUAUUUUAUAUCAAUUCUAUGCAGGAAAUCAGUUCAUUAGGAACAGUCCAUGGAUUAACAAUACAUUCAAAUGUAUGACUACAUGCCUUUCCCUUUCUUUUUUUUAAGAGAAAAUUUUGUUAUCCAUUGAAUACUCCAUAUGAUUUUGGGCUCUUUCACUUGCCACCAGCUUUCAAAAGGGCCUUUGAAUUACAAGGUCAGCCAUAGAGCUGCUCUGCAAAUCAACACCUUUUAUUCCGAAUCAAUAGGUUUCCAAUUUCCUCUUUCUUGUUACAACUCCACAUACAAAUCAAGAAAAUAAAAAAAAAAUUGUGAAGAGUAGUUUAUUAGCAUCACAUAUUCAAAAGAAUAAAAAGAAGACAGUUGGCAACAACAAUGCUAAGGAAUCGGAUUUACCAUAACUCGUGAUGGAAAGCUAAGUAUAACUAGAAUAGAAAUAGCAAAGACCCUGGCAUGGAACAAUCCUUGAAAGCUAAACAUGAUGGCAUACAGAUCAACCCAUAUAGCCUUUAAAAAUAUUCAGCAACUAAAGAGGCUAAACUCUAUAACAUGGUGGACAAGCAUAAACACAUGGGGACCAUUUAUCAGAAACACACGGUAUAACUUUCAGAGACAGUUUCAAAGAGGAAAGAAAAACUUUGUAAAGACAUAUAGUUCAACAAGACACCAAUUCACAUUUUUCAUUCAUGUAUUUCAAAAUGGGGGCUACAGAUGAGAUAUCAAUAUACCUAAUGCUGGAAAUAAAAGCUGAGACUAAGUAUAGGUUUAAGGGCCAAGAAGAAAACCCAAUAGGACCCCAGAAAGAGAAGCAAUCAACAUGCAGUUUAACAGCAAGAAUGAGGAAAACUUCAGCUCCAGAAAACCAAUACCAGUUCAAGAUCCAACUUAGAUGAACCCAAGUUUUCUUUUUAAAAGAGAAAUCAGAACUUUUAAACCUUUUCAGUAAAUGCAGGAAGUUUUUGUGAGUUGAAACUCAACCUCAAAAUGAGUGUUCAUUUAGAGAAUAUUUUCGGUGUAUUCAGAGAAUUUUUGGGUCAGUAUGCUGAAUGAAUCCUAUUUCAGUGAGAGUGAGGUCUCCUUUUAUAGGGUAUAUGAGCAUGAAAAGAUAAGAGUUAGAGGGGUAUAAAGGAAUCUUUUCUAGGGGAAUUCUGCCAGCCCCUCCCUUUCAAAUGUAGGGAUAAAGUACUAUUCUAUACCAGAAAAUGGACAGCUGUUGAGACAGCUGUCUAUGCAGGUUUUCCCCUUAUUUUUUAGUCCUUUACAAUUCUAAAAUUAUCCCUUUUUUAACCCUAAACGGAACUAAUUUCCUAAUGCAAUUUGCAUUUCAGUCCCCACCCUCAUCUUCUAGAAACUUCUAGCCAAUUCCAGAUUUAAAACCCUUAUUGUGGCUUCCAAUUAUUUCUUUUAAAGUUUUCUGUCAUUAGCAAAAGCCGGAAUCUAAAUGAUUAUACUUAAAACUAAAAUGGAAUGCCACAAACAGCCUGUAUUUGACACUCACUCAGAAAUUGGCUAACCUAAUUAAAACAUGCAAGCAAAAAGUCAUUCUUAAAAGAGAUUUAGGUUCUAAUCUAGCUGAAAUAAAAAUAAAGAAGAAAGAAAAAACAGUAAAGAGGCAAAGUAAUAAUUCUAAUCAUUUUUUUAACAAAAAUCAGAUAAUUAAAAUUCUCGCUAAACCAUGCGAAGCAAAAACUUUUAACCCUAGAUAUGCUGAAACAUAGAAAUUAGAGAAGAGAAGAACAAAAAGGAAGCGGGUUAUUACCUAAAAACAAAGAGGAAUAUCUUUGAUAAGCACUGGGCCAAACAAUGGGGUUCAAAUCCCUCUGAAAUGACCCGGAAUUAACGCUAAUCGGUUGUUCGUGCCAAGAACAACUGACUAGCAUAAAUUUUGAGUCAACACAAGCCUUGAAACUCAACGAGCAGUCAAAGAAGAAAGAACUCGAUCUUUCUGUUUUCUAGAUCCGGUUCUGAGAGCAUUCAAUGGGAAUUUGGGGAAUAUGGUAAUAGAUUGAUGACGAGGGGAGAUUGAGGAGUAUGGGAUAUCGAUUUGGGUAUUUGGAGGGAUUAUGAUAGCCGCCGCCAGCUAAUGAGUUGAGAGAAUUUAGGGGCGGCUAGAUUAGGGUUAGGGAUGGGACGAAAGUGAAGGGGGGGGGGAGGUUCUCUAGGAUUUGACAGGGUUCGGACGGUCAUAUAGGGAGAAGGAGAUCAGUUCCCAGCCG
rnacentral:lncRNA from 1 species